UGUCAGAAAACACUCUCAUUAUUUCAUACUCAAUGCCUCUAGGACGUUGAGAGCUACGACCCAAUCCUGAACCCUGUCCUAUCCUAGACAACAACAGAAUCAUUACUGCAGAAGUUCAGAGGAAGAUGGAGGAGACUGAUACUGUAAUGGCUGAAGUUGACAGAGUCUCCCAGCAAUACCUGCCUCUCUCCACCUCCUGCUCUGCCAUGUACUUCACUCUGGAGUCACUCAAUCAGGAUUUUAUUUCAUGGCUCAAUAGUGUUUCACCUGAAGACAAUGUGCC